rnacentral:tRNA from 1 species
CCGCGUGGAGCGUCGCGUUCGGCGUCGCCGACGUCGAGGCCGCGGUCGAGAAGGCGGUCGCGGCGGGUGCCACGCUCGUCGUGCCGCC